rnacentral:rRNA from 1 species
GACAGAGGUGCCAAGCGUUAGGCGGAAUCACUGGGCUUAAAGCGUGUGUAGGCGGAUGUCUAAGUACCUUGUGAAAUCCCACGGCUCAACCGUGGAACUGCUUGGUAUACUGGAUGUCUUGAGCCAUCUAGGGGCUACCGGAACAAAUGGUGGAGCGGUGAAAUGCGUAGAUAUCAUUUGGAACGCCAAUGGUGAAAACAGGUAGCUGGGGAUGUGCUGACGCUGGAGACACGAAAGCCAGGGGAGCGAACGGG